CGGCGAGCGAACCGGAAAGAGCCCAGCUUGAAAAUCGAGGUGCCUCGCACCCCGAGUUGUAGUCUGGAGAAGGUCCCUCUGCGACGCGCCGGACCCAAGUUCCCUGGAAAGGGACGUCAUCGAGGGUGACAACCCCGUCCGCGCCCGGAAGGCGUCGCUCCACGAGGACCUGUCUGCGAGUCGGGCUGUUUGGGAAUGCAGCCCUAAUCCGGUGGUAAAUUCCAUCGAAGGCUAAAUAUGGGCAAGAGACCGAUAGCGAACAAGUACCGCGAGGGAAAGAUGAAAAGGACUUUGAAAGUAUUGUAAGGGCCGUCGCGCCGGGACAAGAGCGGGGAUUCGCUUCCCGCCUAUGCCGGUGCGGUGGCCGAGGAACGAAGCGCGCGCCGUGUGGCGUGGGCCCUCUCGGGGGCCCAACUGCGCGCUCGGGACGCUGGCGCAUUGAGCUCUUCAUCCGACCCGUCUUGAAACACGGACCAAGGAGUCUAACAUGUAUGCGAGCCGGUGGGCGGCAAACCCAUGGAGGCGCAAGUAAACUGACAGGUGGGACCCCGACCGCGAGGGAGGGAGCACCAUCGACCGACCGUGAUCUUCUGUGAAAGGUUUGAGUGGGAGCAUACCUGUUGGGACCCGAAAGAUGGUGAACUAUGCCUGAGCAGGGCGAAGCCAGAGGAAACUCUGGUGGAGGCUCGUAGCGAUACUGACGUGCAAAUCGUUCGUCAGACUUGGGUAUAGGGGCGAAAGACUAAUCGAACCAUCUAGUAGCUGGUUCCCUCCGAAGUUUCCCUCAGGAUAGCUGGAGCUCGUGGACAAGUUUUAUCAGGUAAAGCGAAUGAUUAGAGGCAUCGGGGGUGUAACACCCUCGACCUAUUCUCAAACUUUAAAUAGGUAAGCCGCCGGGGUUGCUUGGUUGAACCCCUGCACAGAAUGAGAGCUCCAAGUGGGCCAUUUUG
rnacentral:rRNA from 1 species